rnacentral:misc_RNA from 1 species
UUGAUAACACUGCAUAUAUCAUGCCUAUAAUUCCAGUUAAUUCAUACAUAACAGAUCCAAAUGAAUAUAUCACUAAUAAUAAUAAUACAUGCAGAGUUCUAGAACAGAAUAAAAGGACAAAAUACAAUUAAAUGCAGAUAAUAGACCUACGAAGAACAGAGCAGGUUAAACUCAAUAAAGGACCUCCUGUAUCCUGAAAAAAUAGGUGAA